rnacentral:rRNA from 1 species
CGAAGUCUGGUGCCAGCAGCCGCGGUAAUUCCAGCUCCAAUAGCGUAUAUUAAAGUUGUUGCAGUUAAAAAGCUCGUAGUUGAAUUUCGGGGUCAGUAAGUUGGUCGUGCCACUGGUAUGUACUGGCUUACUGGUUCCUCCUUCUUGAAGAACUGUGAUGUCAUUUAUUUGGUGUUGCAGGGAAACAGGACUGUUACUUUGAAAAAAUUAGAGUGUUUAAAGCAGGCUAACGCCUUGAAUACAUUAGCAUGGAAUAAUGAAAUAGGACGUUUUGACCCUAUUUUAGUUGGUUUCUAGGAUCGACGUAAUGAUUAAUAGGGAUAGUUGGGGGCAUUAGUAUUCAAUUGUCAGAGGUGAAAUUCUUGGAUUUAUUGAAGACUAACUACUGCGAAAGCAUUUGCCAAGGAUGUUUCAUUAAUCAAGAACGAAAGUUAGGGGAUCGAAGACGAUCAGAUACCGUCGUAGUCUUAACCAUAAACUAUGCCGACUAGGGAUCGGAUGAUGUUAAUUUUUAAUGACUCAUUCGGCGCCUUACG